UCCUGAGUAUGGUCGCCAUUGGGUUAAACGCCUGAGAAAUCCGAGCGAGGAAGCUAAGUUGAAGAAGGGGGGUGGGAGGGUAGAAACUGCGGCCUCUGAGCUACUUAACCCGCCCCCGACAUCCAGCAGCCCGAGAGCCCUCUUCGGAAUCCGAGCCCGGUGCAAGUGGCGAUUAAUGAAGAAUGUCUGCGACAAGCGUUGACCCUCAGCGAGCGAAAGGACAAGAGAAUAAAGUGCAAAAUGGUUCGUUGCAUCAAAAGGACACAGUACACGACAAUGAUUUUGAGCCAUACCUAAGCAGCCAAUCUAAUCAGAGUAACAGCUAUCCUUCAAUGACUGAUCCAUAUUUGUCAAGUUAUUAUGCCCCGUCCAUUGGAUUCUCCUAUUCUCUUAGUGAAGCAGCACCAUGGUCCACUGGCGGUGAUCCUCCUAUUCCAUAUUUAACAACUUAUGGACAGCUGAGUAAUGGAGACCAUCAUUUCAUGCAUGAUGCUGUGUUUGGUCAGCCUGGGGGACUAGGGAGUACCCCAUAUUUAAACCAACAUAGAUUCAACUUUUUCCCUGAAAAUCCAGGGUUUUCUGCAUGGGGAACUGGUGGAUCUCAGGGACAACAAACACCAAGCUCAGCAUAUGGCAGUAGCUAUAGUUACCCACCUAGUUCUUUGGGAGGAACAAUAGUGGAUGGACAGGCAGGGUUUCCAAAUGAUACCUUAAAUAAGGCACCAGGCAUGAAUAGCAUUGAACAGGGGAUGGUUGGACUAAAGAUUGGAGCUGUGACAUCAUCAGGUGUAAAGACUGUAGGAUCUGUGGUAAACAGCCCAGGUAUGACCAACACAGCACCUGGAAAUGGCUCAACAGCUGGUGUAUCUGCUCCAAAGCCAACAUCAUGGGCUGCCAUUGCAAGUAAACCAGCCAAGCCUCAACCAAAAUUAAAACCAAAGACGGGAGCAGCAGUAGGAGGUUCAGCAUUACCUCCACCACCUAUAAAACACAAUAUGGACAUUGGUACAUGGGACAAUAAAGGACCUGUACCAAAAGCUCCUCCAACCCAUCAGACCCCUAAUACUCAGGCAGUUCCACAGCAGCAGUUGACUCAGCCCCCUCCAGCUCAGCCAUUACAACUUCCACAGCAACCUUAUCAGAAUCCUCAACAACCCCCACAGAACCGAUGGAUUGCCCCUCGCAAUAGAGGGGCAGCAUUUGGUCAAAAUAGCGGAACUGGUAAUGAAAGCAACUCGGUGGGUAAUCUACCGGUUAGCUCUCCUCCAAGCAAUGAGACUCAUCCUGUUCUUGAAAAGUUGAAGGCUGCAUACUGCUACAACCCAAAAGACUUUGACUGGAAUCUUAAAAAUGGCCGAGUGUUUAUUAUCAAGAGCUACUCUGAGGAUGAUAUCCAUCGCUCUAUCAAGUACUCCAUUUGGUGCAGUACUGAGCAUGGCAACAAACGCUUGGACAGUGCUUAUCGCUCGAUGGCUGGAAAAGCCCCUGUUUACUUACUAUUCAGUGUGAAUGGCAGUGGACACUUCUGUGGAGUGGCAGAAAUGAAAUCACCAGUGGACUAUGGUACAUGUGCCGGGGUUUGGUCACAGGACAAGUGGAAAGGCAAAUUUGACGUUAAGUGGAUCUUUGUAAAGGACGUACCUAAUAACCAGCUGAGGCAUAUCCGUUUGGAAAACAAUGAUAAUAAGCCAGUCACUAACUCUCGGGACACUCAGGAGGUUCCUUUAGAGAAAGCUAAGCAAGUGCUCAAAAUUAUUGCUACUUACAAGCAUACCACCUCAAUUUUUGAUGACUUUUCACAUUACGAAAAGCGUCAGGAAGAAGAGGAAGUUGUGCGUAAGAUCAUUGAACUCUAAGCUGAUGUUCUGCUUGUUUGCCAUGUACAUUUGUCAGCAAACAAGUCCUGGCUAGAUCAUUUGAGGGAGGAACUCCUUUUUGCUGGAUGAACCGAUUGAGAGCACGGACUGAACUUGAUGUAGCCAUUCUGAUCAAGGAUUAAUACCAGUUUGGAGAGGGAAAGGAGUUUGAGACAAACAGCAAACCAAUUUGAUGUCAGUUUUAAAUAGUUAACUAAAACAGUAUUAAAUGAUAAAAAUUUGUUUAGUUUUGUUGAUCUGAACCAGCAAAUGCAGCUAAUUGUUUUAAACAAAAUUGAGUACUUUGAUUUUGGCAUAGGAAAUUUGUGUUUCUUUUGUGCAAGUAUUUCCCCUGUUGGUGGGUGAAGUUACUGUGUAUGACAACAGUAACGUGCUAUCUUUUUUUUUUAAAAGAAAUCUCAAAUAGAUAUUCCUUUUGUUUAACUUUCUAGGACAAAAUUUCUCUGCCAGUGGCUUCUCAUUAUUUACAGCCACCGUUCCUAUGAAGCCACAGUCAUCCAAGCAUCAGGGAGAUUGAGCUGCAUCAGAGCCGCUGCAUCAGUCCUCAUCCUCUUCAAGUUUUGCUUCAAAGACUUCGGAUAUUGAUUAUACACUAGCUUACACCUGUAAAGUAUCUGAUGGUGUCUCAGUUCUAUCUUUAAGACUGUACAUCAACUAGACAUUUAUGAUGGAAUGUGAACCGGGCCUCAAAGUUCUGAAUCAGGCAGAAAGGGAAGAUGUUCUAAAGGCAAAAUCUUCCAUUUCACAUUAAUCAUUCAAGUUGAGAGUUUCAUUGGGAGAAGUCGAGGUUAACAGUUGGCAGUACAGGAGCGCCUGAAUCGAAACAAAUGAUAAGAAAACAUUUGACUUGAUGAAUUAAAAAAAAAACUGAAAACCUGGUGCUGUGACCUAGCAUCAGAAUGAAAACAAAAAUCAAAGCUUUCUGCUCCAGUGAUAUCUUUAUGUGCAGGGGAAUUAAGCUACAUCACGUUUUUAGUACAUUUCUGUUUUUGUUUUUGCCCAGACUGGUCUGCAUUUUGUUUGUAAUUUUGCACCUAAAUGCUGUCGCAGUCACUGGUAACUUCUGUUACACUGAAGCUUUAGCCUGCAUUUGUUUAGCAAUCCUAUGAAGAUGAGCCCAUUAAGCUCUUUUUUUUUAUAAAUGGGAAAUAUUACUGCAUCAGCCUUAUGUAGAUUGGAUGAUGUGAUGCUUUCAACGUUACUAGUUUUGGUGAUGUGUGUUAACUUUGAGCUUUCUGGUGUUCUUUUCAAGUCGCUGUUAAUUUGCAUUCUCUCAUGAAAAUCCCAAGGUCAUUUCUUUUUUUCUUCUUCUGUAAAGCUGAGCUUUAAUGUAGGAGCAAAUAGUGGAAACGAUGGUUGAUGUCUCAAAAAAUAUAAAUUGAUGCAAACGUCUCUUGAUUUUUGAGAUGAAAUAUUUUGAUUGUUUUUUUUCUGUCCGAAAGCUGUACUUUGCUGUACUGUAUGUCUGUGGAAUGAGGGAACCAUUGAAAUUGCUGCCGACUGGAUAAAGCAUGAAACGGUGCUCAUGCCUGUUGCUUUAGUUCACAGAAACUUGCACGUGUUUAUUGUAGAGGAACUUUACUAUCGUUAGAAACAAAACAAUUAACUCUUCUGAACCUAGUUACAAAAAUGGACCUCAAUUUAAAAAGAAAACUAUCAUUUAGACUUAUAUUUAGACAAUUUUAGUUAUGUCUAUAUUGCCUGUAAGGUAAAUGAACAUCAUUGGGUUGAUUUUCUUUCCUCUAGGAGAAUACAAGCCUUAAUAAACAAUAUCUAUUUAGCAA